GUAGGUGGCAAGCGUUGUCCGGAAUUAUUGGGCGUAAAGCGCGCGCAGGCGGUUCUUUAAGUCUGAUGUGAAAGCCCACGGCUCAACCGUGGAGGGUCAUUGGAAACUGGAGAACUUGAGUACAGAAGAGGAAAGCGGAAUUCCACGUGUAGCGGUGAAGUGCGUAGAGAUGUGGAGGAACACCAGUGGCGAAGGCGGCUUUCUGAUCUGUAACUGACGCUGAGGCGCGAAAGCGUGGGGGAGCAAACAGGAUUAGAUACCCUGGUAGUCCACGCCGUAAACGAUGAGUGCUAAGUGUUAGGGGGUUUCCGCCCCUUAGUGCUGCAGCUAACGCAUUAAGCACUCCGCCUGGGAGUACGGCCGCAAGGCUG
rnacentral:rRNA from 1 species